rnacentral:rRNA from 1 species
CUCCGGUUGAUCCUGCCGGACCUGACUGCUAUCGGAUUGGUACUAAGCCAUGCGAGUCGUUGUAGCAAUACAAGGCGGACGGCUCAGUAACACGUAGUCAACCUAACCUAUGGACGUGGAUAACCUCGGGAAACUGAGAAUAAACCGCGAUAGAUCAUUAUGCCUGGAAUGGCUUAUGGUUCAAACAAUUUAUUGCCGUAGGAUGGGACUGCGGCCUAUCAGCUUGUUGGUGAGGUAAUGGCCCACCAAGGCUAUAACAGGUACGGGCUCUGAGAGGAGAAGCCCGGAGAUGGGUACUGAGACACGGACCCAGGCCCUAUGGGGCGCAGCAGGCGAGAAACCUUAGCAAUGUGCGAAAGCACGACUAGGUUAAUCCGAGUGAUUUCUGUUGAAGAAAUCUUUUGUCAGUCGUAAAACCACAGACGAAUAAGGGGUGGGCAAGUCUGGUGUCAGCCGCCGCGGUAAUACCAGCACCUCGAGUGGUCAGGAGGUUUAUUGGGCCUAAAGCAUCCGUAGCCGGCUACGCAAGUCUCCGGUUAAAUCCAGCUGCUCAACAGAUGGGCUGCCGGAGAUACUACAUAGCUAGGGAGCGGGAGAGGUAGACGGUAUUCUGUGGGUAGGGGUAAAAUCCACUGAUCCAUAGAGGACCACCAGUGGCGAAGGCGGUCUACCAGAACGCGUUCGACGGUGAGGGAUGAAAGCUGGGGGAGCAAACCGGAUUAGAUACCCGGGUAGUCCCAGCUGUAAACGAUGCAAACUCGGUGAUGCAUUGGCUUAUGGCCAAUGCAGUGCCGCAGGGAAGCCGUUAAGUUUGCCGCCUGGGAAGUACGGACGCAAGUCUGAAACUUAAAGGAUUGGCGGGGGAGCA